rnacentral:rRNA from 1 species
UCUAAUACCGGAUAUGACCUUCUUCCGCAUGGUUGAAGGUGGAAAGCUCCGGCGGUGCAGGAUGAUCCCGCGGCCUAUCAGCUUGUUGGUGGGGUAAUGGCCUACCAAGGCGACGACGGG